UUCUUUUUCCGGUUCAUAAGCAUGAUGACUGGUGUUCGCAUGCUUGUGUGACAUGUGCCUCCUUUAAAACUUGUUACUCAUUUGGUGUGUUGCCCAUCUGACG